rnacentral:rRNA from 1 species
GACGAACGCUGGCGGCGUGCUUAACACAUGCAAGUCGAACGGAAAGGCCCUGCUUUUGUGGGGUGCUCGAGUGGCGAGCGGGUGAGUAACACGUGAGUAACCUGCCCUUGACUUUGGGAUAACUUCAGGAAACUGGGGCUAAUACCGGAUAGGAUCUCCUGCUGCAUGGUGGGGUUUGGAAAGUUUCGGCGGUUGGGGAUGGACUCGCGGCUUAUCAGCUUGUUGGUGGGGUAGUGGCUUACCAAGGCUUUGACGGGUAGCCGGCCUGAGAGGGUGACCGGCAAAAUUGGGACUGAGAUACGGACCAGAGUCCUACGGGAGGCAGCAGUGGGGAAUAUUGAACAAUGGGCGGAAGCAUGAUGCAGAAACGCAGCGUGCGGGAUGACGGCCUUCGGGUUGUAAACCGAUUUCGCAUGUGACGAAGCGUGAGUGACGGUAAUGGGUAAAGAAGCACCGGCUAACUACGUG